GUGGCCAGGAUCCUCACAUGAUAGCCGGAUUUUACAAAAUAGUGGGGUUAGACAGCUGUUUGAGGAGGGAAUCAUCCCCGUCGGGUAUCACCUACUUGGAGAUAGUGGUUAUCCCUCUCGAAGAUGGCUGCCUACCCCAUACGCAAACCCUCAAGCAGGACAACAAACCCGGUACAACAGGAUGGCAAUACCUUUCACUCCCUCCUGGUGAAUCUCCCAGACUCUCUUUUCCCGGUUGCUGAGGACUGCACUAUUUUCCCGGUUGCUGAGGACUGCACACACUCAUAAUAGAUGUCAUAUGAUGUGCAUGCAAAUGUCACAGAAAACUUGAAGCAUUUAAGGAAGUAAAACUAAAACUUCAAAUUAAAUACUACAAAAGGAAGCUUGUUGAAGAGUAAAUGGAAGAUAUUUGUUGGAUUCAGUGGAGUAUCGGUUUUAUUUCACGAGUGAUCAUAUAAAAUGAUCUUUUCACGAGUGGCACGGCAACGAGUGAAAAUAUGUAUUUUUUAUGAUCACGAGUGAAAUAAAAUCAAUAUUUCAUCCAAUCCAACAAAUUUUCUUUUUAUUUUAUGCUUUUUUAGAUAUCUGUUGUUUUUAUACAUUGCAAGAGUUUAACUGGAUAAU